UACGGGAGGCAGCAGUGGGGAAUAUUGCACAAUGGGCGCAAGCCUGAUGCAGCCAUGCCGCGUGUAUGAAGAAGGCCUUCAGGUUGUAAAGUACUUUCAGUCGUGAGGAAGGUGUUAAGGUUAAUAACCUUAGCAAUUGACGUUAGCGACAGAAGAAGCACCGGCUAACUCCGUGCCAGCAGCCGCGGUAAUACGGAGGGUGCGAGCGUUAAUCGGAAUUACUGGGCGUAAAGGGCACGCAGGCGGUUAAUAAGUUGGAUGUGAAAUCCCCGGGCUUAACCUGGGAAUGGCAUUCAAGACUGGUUAGCUAGAGUCUUGUAGAGGGGGUAGAAUUCCAUGUGUAGCGGUGAAAUGCGUAGAGAUGUGGAGGAAUACCGGUGGCGAAGGCGGCCCCUGGGACAAAGACUGACGCUCAUGUGCGAAAGCGUGGGGAGCAAAACAGGGAUUUAGAUACC
rnacentral:rRNA from 1 species